GGUUAAUAAAUUCACACCGACGUCUUUCUUUUACUAUUCUUACACCUUGGUUUGUGAUUAUUGCAUAGAUCGAAAACGAUUGCAAUUGAUCGUUUGCUUAGUCAUAGUUUUCUAUGUUGUUCAUUGUUUAAUGAGGUAAGGUUGUUUGUAUUUUUAUCGUUUUCCACUUUUUGGCACGGCUUUGUCAGUUUGUUUUCGACUGAUGAGAUUUAAAAUCCAUGAUAAGUAUAUCGUCUCUAUUUUUCUCUGUCAUUUGUUUAUGUUGUUAUAUUUUGUUUUGUUAUAUUUUGUUUU
rnacentral:lncRNA from 1 species